UUUAUUUGACAAGUAGGAUUACAGUGAGAGAGAGAGAUAAAGGUCUUCCUUCUGUUGGUUCACUCUCCAAGUGGCCACAACGGCCAGAGCUGCAGUGAUCAGGAGCCUGGAGCCUGCUCCUGGUCUCUCAUGUGGCUGCAGGGGCCCAAGCACCCGGGCCAUGCUCUACUGCUUUCCCAGGCCAUAGCAGAGAGCUGCACUGGAAGAGGAGCAACCGAGACUAGAACCAGUGCCCACAUGGAAUGCUGGCGCUGCAGGAGUAACCUAGUGCACCACAGCACUGGCCCCGGUAUAAAUCAUUUACACUCUUGAUAGGAACAGUGAAUUGACCUGGUUAUGGAUUUUCUUUUUGGUAAGUUUUGGAUGACUAAGUGCAUCUCCUUUGUAGUUACAUGUCUAUUCUUAUUUUCUGUUGUAGUAAUAGUUUUCUUGAGGUGUGUAUAUAUAUUUAAUGCACACAUAUAUUACAGGAGGCACAGUAACCACAAUCACUUUGUCCAUUUAUUGUCCUUUUUCAACCUCUCAUUUUGUCUCCUGAAGUUUGAAACUUGGUACAAGCUGCAGGUACUAUGUGUGUGAUUUGUAUUGAGCCUUUGGGUUUGCUUGGUAAUUGUUGUUGGGUUAACUUAUGCAUUAGUUACUUAUAAAUAUGUAUGUUUUAGAUUUUAAUUACAAUAUAGUACACAUGGCAGGAAACACACACCAAUGUAUAGAGAGUGAGUUUUUUUGUCAUCUGAUCACAUUGAUACCAAUAUGUGAAAAGAACAAAGAAUGACUGGCAUCCCAAGGGUUUCCCUCCUCUCAAUUUUUUUGGUUAACUUGUGAAAUAAGAACACAUUUUCACUUACAUGGUAUGAUUCAGUGAAGCACUAUGUGUAACUAAAUAUACCAAGUGCUGUGACACACACAUUUUUUUAUUCUAUAGUUUAACUACUACAUACAAGAAGACAUGUGGUAUUUGUACUUUGGGACUGGGUUAUUUCACUUAGUGUAAUGAUCACCUGUUGAAUCUACUUUUUUACUUAUGUCAGGGUUUCAUUCCUUUUUGUGGUUGAGUAAUAUUUCAUCAUGCAUUUUCUUUAUCCAGUCAAGAUUGAGGGACAUUUAGGUUCAUUCCCUGUAUUAGCUAUUGUGAAUUGAGCUGCUAUAAAUAUGGGAGUGCCGAUAAAUUUUCAUAUUCUGAUUUAAUUUCCUUUGGGCAUAUUCCCAGGCUGGUUGGGUCAUAAGUCAGAUGUAUUUGUAGUUUCUGAGGAAUCUCAGUAGGGCCUUUGUUCAUGCUUCUACCUGUUUAAUUCCAACCAACAAUGUAUUACAAUACCUGUUCUUGGCAUCCUUAACAGCUUUGUCAUUUGUGAAUUUUUAGAUGAUAGCCAUUCUAAGUGGGGUGAGGUAGCAUUUCAUUGUGAUUUUAAUGCUUAUUUCCUGAGGGAUUGUGAUUCUGAGCAUUUUUUCAUGUUUCUGCUGGCCCUUUGUAUUUCACCCUUUGAAAAAUGUCUAUAAACAUACUCUGCCCAUUUCUUAGCUAGAUUGUUCGGUGCUCUUCAGUCUCUUGAUCUCUUUAUUCUGGGUAUUAAUGUUU
ensembl:lncRNA